UACGGAGGGGGCUAGCGUUGUUCGGAAUCAUUGGGCGUAAAGGGCGCGUAGGCGGCCGAUCAAGUCGGAGGUGAAAUCCCUCGGCUCAACUGAGGAAUUGCCUUCGAUACUGUUCGGCUUGAGUCCUGGAGAGGGUAGCGGAAUUCCCGGUGUAGCGGUGGAAUGCGUAGAGACCGGGAAGAACACCAGUGGCGAAGGCGGCUACCUGGACAGGUACUGACGCUGAAGCGCGAAAGCUAGGGGAGCAAACAGG
rnacentral:rRNA from 1 species